UGGGGAAUAUUGCACAAUGGGCGCAAGCCUGAUGCAGCCAUGCCGCGUGUAUGAAGAAGGCCUUCGGGUUGUAAAGUACUUUCAGAGGGGAGGAAGGCGAUGUGGUUAAUAACCGCGUCGAUUGACGUUACCCGCAGAAGAAGCACCGGCUAACUCCGUGCCAGCAGCCGCGGUAAUACGGAGGGUGCAAGCGUUAAUCGGAAUUACUGGGCGUAAAGCGCACGCAGGCGGCCUGUCAAGUCGGAUGUGAAAUCCCCGGGCUCAACCUGGGAACUGCAUCCGAAACUGGCAGGCUUGAGUCUCGUAGAGGGGGGUAGAAUUCCAGGUGUAGCGGUGAAAUGCGUAGAGAUCUGGAGGAAUACCGGUGGCGAAGGCGGCCCCCUGGACGAAGACUGACGCUCAGGUGCGAAAGCGUGGGGAGCAAACA
rnacentral:rRNA from 1 species